GACGAACGCUGGCGGCGUGCUUAACACAUGCAAGUCGAACGGAAAGGCCCUGCUUUUGUGGGGUGCUCGAGUGGCGAACGGGUGAGUAACACGUGAGUAACCUGCCCUUGACUUUGGGAUAACUUCAGGAAACUGGGGCUAAUACCGGAUAGGAGCUCCUGCUGCAUGGUGGGGGUUGGAAAGUUUCGGCGGUUGGGGAUGGACUCGCGGCUUAUCAGCUUGUUGGUGGGGUAGUGGCUUACCAAGGCUUUGACGGGUAGCCGGCCUGAGAGGGUGACCGGCAACAUGGGGACUGAGAAACGGCCCAGACUCCUAAGGGAGGCAGCAGUGGGGAAUAUUGCACAAUGGGCGGAAGCCUGAUGCAGCAACGCCGCGUGCGGGAUGACGGCCUUCGGGUUGUAAACCGCUUUCGCCAGUGACGAAGCGUGAGUGACGGUAAUGGGUAAAGAAGCACCGGCUAACUACGUG
rnacentral:rRNA from 1 species